UACGUAGGGUGCGAGCGUUAAUCGGAAUUACUGGGCGUAAAGCGUGCGCAGGCGGUUUGUUAAGACAGAUGUGAAAUCCCCGGGCUUAACCUGGGAACUGCAUUUGUGACUGGCAAGCUAGAGUAUGGCAGAGGGGGGUAGAAUUCCACGUGUAGCAGUGAAAUGCGUAGAGAUGUGGAGGAAUACCGAUGGCGAAGGCAGCCCCCCUGGGCCAAUACUGGACGCU
rnacentral:rRNA from 1 species